UACAGAGGUGGCAAGCGUUGUUCGGAUUUAUUGGGCGUAAAGGGUCCGUAGGCGGUCCGGAAAGUCAGAUGUGAAAUCCCACAGCUCAACUGUGGAACUGCAUUUGAAACUUCCAGACUAGAGUAUGAGAGGGGUUAAGGGAAUUCCCAGUGUAGAGGUGAAAUUCGUAGAUAUUGGGGAAGAACACCGGUGGCGAAGGCGGCUCACUGGCUCGUAUCUGACGCUCAGGCGCGACAGCGUGGGGAUCAAACAGG
rnacentral:rRNA from 1 species